AACUAGCCGUUGGGACUCUUGAAGUCUUAGUGGCGCAGCUAACGCACUAAGUUGACCGCCUGGGGAGUACGGCCGCAAGGUUAAAACUCAAAUGAAUUGACGGGGGCCCGCACAAGCGGUGGAGCAUGUGGUUUAAUUCGACGCAACGCGAAGAACCUUACCUGGCCUUGACGUGCAGAGAACUUUCCAGAGAUGGAUUGGUGCCUUCGGGAACUCUGACACAGGUGCUGCAUGGCCGUCGUCAGCUCGUGUCGUGAGAUGUUGGGUUAAGUCCCGUAACGAGCGCAACCCCUAUCCCUAGUUGCUAGCAGUUCGGCUGAGAACUCUAGGGAGACUGCCGGUGACAAACCGGAGGAAGGUGGGGAUGACGUCAGGUCAUCAUGGCCCUUACGGCCAGGGCUACACACGUGCUACAAUGGUGCGUACAGAGGGCUGCAAACCCGCGAGGGGGAGCUAAUCUCACAAAACGCAUCGUAGUCCGGAUCGGAGUCUGCAACUCGACUCCGUGAAGUCGGAAUCGCUAGUAAUCGCGAAUCAGAAUGUCGCGGUGAAUACGUUCCCGGGCCUUGUACACACCGCCCGUCACACCAUGGGAGUGGAUUGCACCAGAAGUGGUUAGUCUAACCUUCGGGAGGA
rnacentral:rRNA from 1 species